GACGUAGGGCGCGAGCGUUGUCCGGAUCUAUUGGGCGUAAAGAGCUCGUAGGCGGACUGUCACGUCUGCUGUGAAAAGCUGGGGCUUAACCCUGGCCUUGCAGUGGAUACGGGCAGACUAGAGGUAGGUAGGGGAGAAUGGAAUUCCCGGUGUAGCGGUGAAAUGCGCAGAUAUCGGGAGGAACACCGGUGGCGAAGGCGGUUCUCUGGGCCUUACCUGACGCUGAGGAGCGAAAGCGUGGGGAGCGAACAGG
rnacentral:rRNA from 1 species